AUCUGUGAUGAGAGAGCAUCAUGGAUCGGCUGCCUCCCGCACGCUCCACACUGGGGAUGGAGCCAUAGUUUUCCCGCCAAUGAAAUGGGAUGAUGACAACAGUGUGUAAGCUGCAGGGUUGCUAGGAGGUUUAGAGGGAGUGUUUACAGGACUGACCCACAGAGCCCACGUACCAUCGGCCUUUGCUAACACUAUGCUCUGGGGAGCCGUGACAGUCAAGGUGAGCAGUGAUCCAUACGGUAAUGCGAUAGCUAAUCAAUAACACGUAUUAUGCCACGCACACUGCUGAGUGUCUUACGGCAUGGUUCAUUCCGUCCUACAACCACCCGAUGUCAUGUACGUCCUUUGCAGAUGAGGAAUGAGGUUCAGAGACGCUGUGCAGCCUGCCCAGCGUCAGGUGCUGGUGAACUGCGGACGGCUGAACCUGACCUGGGUCCACGCCAUCGGUCAUCUGACGGCUGAGCCGCAGCUUCUGGGCACCACAGGACACAGGGCUGACGAGGGUCCGUUAGACAACCAGCCACUCACUGCUUCCCAGGUUGUCCGUCGCCUUUCUGCCUGUCCUUCUCAUUCACAUCGAUUCUUCCUCCUGCCUUCCCCCUAUUUUCUUUGUUAAGCAGAAUAAUCGAAGCUGCCUGUCAAGAAUAUCAAUUUCCAAUGCUCCACGGCCGGCGGAGGCCAGGAAAUGGAAUGUGUCAGUUAUCUAUGGCUGUGUAACAAACUGCCCCAAAACACAGAAGCUUAAGACCACAAGUUUUGCCCUGGAGCAUUGUCUUAUUGCACCAAGGUUGCGGGUUCGAUCCCGUCAGGGCACAGACAGGAAGCAACCAUUGAUGCGUAAAUACUGGUAAGUGGAACAACAGGUUGAUGUUUCUCCCUUUCUCCCUUCCUCUCUCUACAAUCAAGAAAUAAAACAAAAAUUACCCCCCACCCCGUUUUCAUUUGCUCAUGAUUCUCUGCAGUUGGCUAAACUGAGGCUGGGUCUAGGGCAGCCUCACUCACACGUCUGGCGUCUGGCCUGUGGGUGGGGGGGGGGGGGGGCGGGGGGAGCGCACUUCAGUUCUCUUCCAUGGGGCCUCCCUAGGCUCGCUGGGGCUGGCCUCUGGAGGCCUCGGCUCCGAAGUCGGACGUCACUGUUACACAUUUUAUUGGUCAAAGCGAGUUACAACAUCUGUCCAGAUUCAAGGGGUGAAGCUAGAUCCCAUCUCUUGUAGGGAGCAAUGUCAAAGACUUGGUGGCUGUGUUUAGUCUACAACACUAAGCAACCCCUCCCCCCAAAGACAUCCCUUUACUAUAAUCCCUUUUGUCCCUUCCCUCCCCUCCCCACUCCCAUUCCCUCUGUUUACUUUAAAUAAUACUUUCUCACUUCGCAUCACCCAAGGCUUCAUUCAAUCACUCAACAAGUAGUUAAUUAUGUGCCAGGGACCCAGAAGGGAACAAAACAAAGUCGCUGCUCUAAUGAUUCUGAUAUUCUAGUGGAGGGAGCGGACAAUCAAGAAAUAAACAAGUACCUACUGUGAGGCCUGAACCACAGGUGCUCUGCAGAACGGAGCAGAGCGAGGGGUGCGGAGUGCACAGGGGUCAGUUACAUCCCAUAGGAUGCCAUCUGCAGGCCUGAAGGAGGUGAGGGGAGGAGGAGGUCCAGGCAGAGCAACAGCAGUGCAAAGGCCCUGGGCGGGCAGAGCGAGAGAGAGAGAGAGAGAGAGAGAGAGAGAGAGAGAGAGAGAACGAACUCCUUACAAGUUUAAAUGGAGU